UGAAUACGAGAUGCUACGGCGUCGAAGCAGUCUAUGUCAUACUUCCAAGAAAAGCUUGCACUGUCAUAAACAAAUAAUGCCUGUACCAUAACCGACACAGGUGGGUAGGUAGAGUAUACUAAGGGGCGCGAGAUAACUCUCUCUAAGGAACUCGGCAAAAUGACUCCGUAACUUCGGGAGAAGGAGUGCCUUAUUUAUAAGGUUGCAAUAACAAGAUCCAAGCAACUGUUUACCAAAAACACAGGUCUCCGCUAAGUCGUAAGACGAUGUAUGGGGGCUGACGCCUGCCCAGUGCCAGAAGGUUAAAGAAGUUGGUUAGCAUCCGCGAAGCUGAUAACUGAAGCCCUGGUGAACGGCGGCCGUAACAAUAACGGUCCUAAGGUAGCGAAAUUCCUUGUCGGGUAAGUUCCGACCCGCACGAAAGGCGUAAUGAUUUGGAUACUGUCUCGGAGAGGGGCUCGGUGAAAUAGACUUGUCUGUGAAGAUGCGGACUACCUGCACCAGGACAGAAAGACCCUAUGAAGCUUUACUGUAACCUGAAAUUGAAAUUGGACUUUACUUGCGCAGUAUAGGUGGGAGGCGUUGAGAAUAUUCUUGCGGGAUUAUUGGAGCCAUCAGUGAGAUACCACUCUUGUAAUGUUAGAUUUCUAACUUUGUAUCAUUAUCUGGUCAAAGAACAGUUUCAGGCGGGCAGUUUGACUGGGGCGGUCGCCUCCUAAACGGUAACGGAGGCGCACAAAGGUUUCCUCUGAACGGGUAGAAAUCGUAUCUAGAGUGUAAAGGCAUAAGGAAGCUUGACUGUGAGACCUACAAGUCGAGCAGGGACGAAAGUCGGUCUUAGUGAUCUGACGGUGCUGAGUGGAAAGGCCGUCACUCAACGGAUAAAAGUUACUCUAGGAUAACAGGCUGAUCUCCCCCAAGAGUUCACAUCGACGGGGAGGUUUGGCACCUCGAUGUCGGCUCAUCGCAUCCUGGGGCGGUAGUACGUCCCAAGGGUUGGGCUGUUCGCCCAUGAAAGCGGUACGCGAGCUGGGUUCAGAACGUCGUGAGACAGUUCGGUCCAUAUCCGGUGUAGGCGUUAGAAUAUUGAGAGGAGCCUUCUUUAGUACGAGAGGACCGAGAAGGACAUACCUCUGGUGUACCAGUUAUCGUGCCAACGGUAAACGCUGGGUAGCUAUGUGUGGAGUGGAUAACCGCUGAAAGCAUCUAAGUGGGAAGCCCACCUCAAGAUAAGUAUUCAU
rnacentral:rRNA from 1 species